AACGAACGCUGGCGGCGUGGAUUAGGCAUGCAAGUCGUACGCGAAAGAGGGAGCAAUCCCUUGAGUAGAGUGGCGAACGGGUGAGUAACGCGUGAGAAACCUGCCUUUGACAGGGGGAUAACACUCCCAACGGGGUGCUAAUACCGCAUGAGACCACGGGAUCGCAUGAUCCUGAGGUCAAAGAUGGCCUCUAUUUAUAAGCUAUCGGUCGAAGAUGGCCUCGCGUCCCAUUAGCUUGUUGGCGGUGUAAAAGACCACCAAGGCGACGAUGGGUAGCUGGUCUGAGAGGAUGGUCAGCCACACUGGGACUGAGAUACGGCCCAGACUCCUACGGGAGGCAGCAGUGGGGAAUAUUGGACAAUGGGCGAAAGCCUGAUCCAGCAAUGCCGCGUGGAUGAAGAAGGUCUUCGGAUUGUAAAGUCCUUUCGACGGGGACGAUGAUGACGGUACCCGUAGAAGAAGCCCCGGCUAACUUCGUGCCAGCAGCCG
rnacentral:rRNA from 1 species